rnacentral:rRNA from 1 species
GACGAACGCUGGCGGCGUGCUUAACACAUGCAAGUCGAACGAAGAGCGGUGGAAGCUUGCUUCUAUCAAUCUUAGUGGCGAACGGGUGAGUAACGCGUAAUCAACCUGCCCUUCAGAGGGGGACAACAGUUGGAAACGACUGCUAAUACCGCAUACGAUCUAAUCUCGGCAUCGAGGAUAGAUGAAAGGUGGCCUCUACAUGUAAGCUAUCACUGAAGGAGGGGAUUGCGUCUGAUUAGCUAGUUGGAGGGGUAACGGCCCACCAAGGCGAUGAUCGGUAGCCGGUCUGAGAGGAUGAACGGCCACAUUGGGACUGAGAUACGGCCCAGACUCCUACGGGAGGCAGCAGUGGGGAAUCUUCCGCAAUGGACGAAAGUCUGACGGAGCAACGCCGCGUGAGUGAUGACGGCCUUCGGGUUGUAAAGCUCUGUUAAUCGGGACGAAAGGCCUUCUUGCGAAUAGUGAGAAGGAUUGACGGUACCGGAAUAGAAAGCCACGGCUAACUACGUG